rnacentral:rRNA from 1 species
UUGUGAGGAUCGGGUAAUGAUUAAGAGGGACGGUUGGGGGCAUUUGUAUUCCGGCGUCAGAGGUGAAAUUCUUGGAUUGGCGGAAGACAAACAGCUGCGAAAGCGUCUGCCAAGGACGUUUUCAUUGAUCAAGAACGAAAGUAAGGGGAUCGAAGACGAUCAGAUACCGUCGUAGUCUUUACUAUAAACGAUGAGGACUGGGGAUCGGGCGGGGCUGAUUUUGGCCCGCCCGGCACCCUUCGGGAAACCAAAGUGUUUGCUUUCUGGGGGGAGUAUGGUCGCAAGGCUGAAACUUAAAGGAAUUGACGGAAGGGCAUCACCGGGUGUGGAGCCUGCGGCUUAAUUUGACUCAACACGGGGAAACUUACCAGGUCCGGACAUAGUGAGGAUUGACAGAUUGAGAGCUCUUUCUUGAUUCUAUGGUUGGUGGUGCAUGGCCGUUCUUAGUUGGUGGAGUGAUCUGUCUGGUUAAUUCCGUUAACGAGCGAGAUUUGCGCGUGCUAGCUAGGCGCCGUUACUAACUUUGGUAGCGAAGCUGCCUUCCUAGACGGACUGUGGGCGUCUAGCCCAUGGAAGCUGCAGGCAAUAACAGGUCUGGGAUGCCCUUAGAUGUUCUGGGCCGCACGCGUGCUACACUGAGCGGGUCAACGGGUGAGGAUAUGCGAGAGCAUUUCCCAAUCUCUAAAUCCGCUCGUGCUGGGGAUCGAGGCUUGCAAUUUUCCCUCUUGAACGAGGAAUACCUUGUAAGCGCGGGUCAUCAUCCCGUGCUGAAUACGUCCCUGCCCUUUGUACACACCGCCCGUCGCUCCUACCGAUUGAGUGGUCCGGUGAGGCCUUGGGGGGGCUGGAUGGACUGUGUUUCACGGACCGUCUGGCCCGAACUUGGUCAAACCUUAUCACUUAGAGGAAGGA